AGUGAACGCUGGCGGUAGGCCUAACACAUGCAAGUCGAACGGCAGCACAGUAAGAGCUUGCUCUUACGGGUGGCGAGUGGCGGACGGGUGAGGAAUACAUCGGAAUCUACUUUUUCGUGGGGGAUAACGUAGGGAAACUUACGCUAAUACCGCAUACGCCCUACGGGUGAAAGCAGGGGAUCUUCGCACCUUGCGCGAUUGAAUGAGCCGAUGUCGGAUUAGCUAGUUGGCGGGGUAAAGGCCCACCAAGGCGACGAUCGGUAGCUGGUCUGAGAGGAGGAUCAGCCACACUGGAACUGAGACACGGUCCAGACUCCUACGGGAGGCAGCAGUGGGGAAUAUUGGACAAUGGGCGCAAGCCUGAUCCAGCCAUACCGCGUGGGUGAAGAAGGCGUUCGGGUUGUAAAGCCCUUUUGUUGGGAAAGAAAAGCAGCAGGUUAAUACCCCGCUGUUCUGACGGUACCCAAAGAAUAAGCACCGGCUAACUUCGUG
rnacentral:rRNA from 1 species